rnacentral:rRNA from 1 species
CCUACGGGAGGCAGCAGUGGGGAAUAUUGGGCAAUGGGCGCAAGCCUGACCCAGCAACGCCGCGUGAAGGAAGAAGGCUCUCGGGUUGUAAACUUCUUUUAUCAGGGACGAAGCAAGUGACGGUACCUGAUGAAUAAGCCACGGCUAACUACGUGCCAGCAGCCGCGGUAAUACGUAGGUGGCAAGCGUUAUCCGGAUUUACUGGGUGUAAAGGGCGUGUAGGCGGGAAAGCAAGUCAGAUGUGAAAACCAUGGGCUCAACCUGUGCCCUGCAGUUGAAACUGUUUUUCUUGAGUACUGGAGAGGCAGACGGAAUUCCUAGUGUAGCGGUGAAAUGCGUAGAUAGUAGGAGGAACACCAGUGGCGAAGGCGGUCUGCUGGACAGCAACUGACGCUGAGGCGCGAAAGCGUGGGGAGCAAACAGGAUUAGAUACCCCAGUAGUC